AACGUAGGAGGCGAGCGUUAUCCGGAGUUACUGGGCGUAAAGCGCGUGUAGGUGGUCUGUUGCGUCUGCUGUGAAAUGUCCCGGCUCAACCGGGACUAGGCGGUAGAUACGGGCAGACUAGAGGGUGACAGAGGAGCGUAGAAUUCCGGGUGUAGUGGUGAAAUGCGUAGAGAUCCGGAGGAAUACCAGUGGCGCAAGCGGCGCUCUGGGUCGAGCCUGACACUGAGACGCGAAGGCAUGGGGAGCGAACGGG
rnacentral:rRNA from 1 species